rnacentral:rRNA from 1 species
GACAGAGGGUGCAAACGUUGUUCGGAAUUACUGGGCGUAAAGCGUGUGUAGGCUGCUACAUAAGUCGGAUGUGAAAGCCCCGGGCUCAACCCGGGAAGUGCACUCGAUACUGCGUAGCUUGAGUCUCGGAGAGGUUGGUGGAAUUCUCGGUGUAGAGGUGAAAUUCGUAGAUAUCGAGAGGAACACCGGUGGCGAAGGCGGCCAACUGGACGAAGACUGACGCUGAGACACGAAAGCGUGGGGGAGCAAACAGG